rnacentral:rRNA from 1 species
ACGUAAGUGGCGAGCGUUGUUCGGAUUUAUUGGGCGUAAAGGGUGCGUAGGUGGAUUGCUAAGUUGGAUGUGCAAAUUCGGAACUCAAUUUCGAACCUGCGUCCAAAACUGGUUUUCUUGAGGUGGGCAGAGGUUAGCGGAAUUUCUGGUGUAGGAGUGAAAUCUAUAGAUAUCAGAAAGAACACCGAUGGCGAAGGCAGCUAACUGGGCUUUACCUGACACUGAAGCACGAAAGCUAGGGGAGCGAACGG